GAUUAUUCAUUGAGGAAGAGAGUACGUAGGCAUCGGAUCUGCAGCGAGCCGGGGUUGGUGGAAGCCUGGUGAUCGAUUCAUACGGAAACGCACUUCUGAGAAGUUCGGUGAACGAUAGUAGCCGUAACCGGGAGCUCCCGUUAUCAGCAUUGAGUUGGUCUAUUUAAUUAGACAAUGAGAGUGGCACCGCGGAUGAUAAUAACGUCCGUCUCUUAC
rnacentral:ncRNA from 1 species